CCAUCUCAUUGUUUUCCCUGGCCCAACUAUAAAUUUAUGUGUGUUUCUCGGUGUCCGGUGGUUUGUUUUCUUUUCUUUCGCAGCAUUGUAUUGCGGCUGAAGUGCUUUCCAAUCGGAAUUGAGGAAAUGGGAGCAACCACUGGAGGACUCGUCGAGAUCUCCACAGGGGUUCACUGAACUACACGUCAACCAGCUCUACAUGUCAACACGAUUUUCUAAGGCAGUCCAGUCAGUCAACGAAAGAUCUCGUAGCAGUAACAUCAAAACUAUAUCUGAGUAUAAGUUCAUAGAAAAAUAAAUAUAUUUUCAAAAUGGCCAUCAACACUGGGGAUGCUAUCCAAGAAAAAUCAGGCCUGAAAUAUGUGAUCUUGGCCGUGGUGCUGCUUGUUCUUUUUUCUAUGAUGGUCUACCUCCAAAAGGCUGAAUUUGUCGUAAACCGGGAUAGUUCGGCAUUGUGGAUCGUGGUAAGGAAGGGCUAUGACUAUUUAGCGAAGCCUGAGAAGCCAAAAGUGGUGCCCAACUAUUAUCAAAGGUUGAUGAACUCUGUGAUGUGCUAAUCAUCUUAAGGAAUCCGUUGGAUACAACACAGCCUUGCAGUUGCAGACACCCGAACGAUGUUUUACCAAGCCAAGUCGUCUAUAUUUUGAUAGCCUCUUAAACCAUCUGCAGUUUGAAGGAUGUUCUUGGAUCUUUGGAAGAAUCACAUACAAUCAUGAAAACUGAAACCCAUUUGUUUGUUUCUAUUCUUUGACCCGUAUCAUCCGAAGAUGCAGCUCUACAUCUGCUACAUCCAGAUGUUUUAGCCGCCUGGCAAACCUUUUAAUCUGUUCACUGCCCAUAAAAGUCAAUUUUGAAAUUGUUGUUUAAUAAAUGAUUUAUGCAAUUCA